rnacentral:rRNA from 1 species
UACGGAGGAGGCAAGCGUUAUCCGGAAUUAUUGGGCGUAAAGCGUCCGUAGGUGGUUUAGUAAGUCUGCUGUUAAAGCGCGGGGCUUAACUCCGUAUCGGCAGUGGAAACUACUAGACUAGAGUGUGGUAGGGGUAGAGGGAAUUCCCAGUGUAGCGGUGAAAUGCGUAGAUAUUGGGAAGAACACCGGUGGCGAAGGCGGCCUGCUGGGCGGCGACUGACGCUGAGGCGCGACAGCGUGGGGAGCAAACAGG